UAAGAACUAUUUAUUGGUUUGUAGUUUGGGAUGCAAGCAAUAAUAUACAUAUAACAGACCCAUACCUAUUCAGUGCAAUACGGUUAACAGUUAUUGACCGGGAGAAACCAAAGUGUUCUACACAGGAAUGAAGCUUCUGGAACCUCUACAGCAGGAAGAAGAGACACCCGACUUUCAGACAGUAUAGUUUUAUUUCACAUAUUGAGUUUGCAGCAUUCUUUAACUAAUAAAAUAUUGAGAAACUUUGUACAAUACACAAAAGUUAAAUACAUGUAAAAGGAAGUUUGUCUCCACUUACACAGCCAAUAUGCCAAGUGGGGGGGAGUUACCUCACUAGUCAGACCAAAAUGUGUAGUCUCAGAUGAGGAAAUGCUACAGAACGCCACCUGCCACCAACAAGAUGCGCAGAUUCUGUCUUAAUAAAAGGAAAAUACAAAUCGAUCAAUGUGUGAUCGAUGGGAGUCCAAGAGGUUGCAGUAUGAAGGUGCAGAUUUGCAAUACCAGGCACAGCUACCAAUGGGGGCUCACCGGAGGUUGCACGUUGGACCCCCUGCCUUUCUCACAAAUGGAUAUAGUCUAUACAAUGGCUAGGUCCACAACUGCUUUAGAGGGGUACUCUGGCCCCAAGACAUCUUCUCCCCUAUCCAAAGGAUAGGGGAUAAGAUGUCUGAUAGCAGGGGGCCUGCCGAUGGGGACCCCUGCAAUCUAGCAUGCAGCACCCACCUGUAAGCACUGCAGGAAGCAUUGGAGUCUCUGUGUUAUGCCUCCCGACCACGGGGGGGGGCGGAGUAUCGUGAAGUCACGACUCCGCCCCCAUGUGACAUCACACCCCACCCCUCAAUGCAGUCACGCCCCCUCCCAUAGACUUGCAUUGAGGGGGUGGGGCGUGACGUCCCACAGGGCGGAGUCGUGAAGUCCCGAUGCUCCGUCCCCGUGGUCGGGAGGCAUAACACAGAGAGCCUCAAGCGCUUUGGAUAGGGGAUAAGAUGUCUUGGGGCCAGAGUACCCCUUUAAUAUAGUCCAAUAAAAAGGCAGCCUCACUAGUAGAUUGACCUGGAUUAGGAGGACAUAAGGGUUUCCUCCCCAAAAUAUCACCACACUGGCCACAGGCUGCCUCUUCUGGGAAUGGCAUUUUAUCUGUUACCCAACAAAAAUCUCAGAUUUACUUUUGAAAGAAGAAGUUGGCACUGGCUCAGACGCCAAAAACAAAUCAAUAGAUCUACUUAUAAGAUUCUAAUGGGCAGUAUCUUAUUUUUAGACAAAGUAUUUUUUUCAUAUAGAUUAAUUCUUUCUGGACUUCAGUUUCAGUCAUUGCAGGGGAUAUUCCCAUGCAAAUAAAAAUAACUGAAAAAGUAGUACCGGAAUACUCGUUUAGGACACGGGUGCGUUCCGAUCCUACACCACCCACUGAUGGGACCUGACACUUCAAUUUAACACAGAAGAGGUUGUAUUCCUUGCAAUGCCCAACAAUAGCACUUUAUUUUAGCCAUCUGAAAGCAGCCCUAAGGCUAAGUUCACACUGCUGUGAUCCAUUUGGGACAGUUUGGCCUUUUUUUUUGUAAAGAUUGGACCCAGAAUGGGUCAGAGCACAACUGACACCGACAGGUCCCAAAUAUUCCCAUUAACUUGAAUGGUGUCCAUUCAGUAGUUGGUAUUUUACAGGAGUUCAGUGGAGAAAAAAAAAAUAUCUAUCUAUAUAGAUAGAUAGAACAUGCAGUAUAUAUUUUUUUUUUUCUCUGCGGAACUCCCAUCCUUCCGAAAGGCCUCAGCUUACAGGAGCACAACGGCCGUGUGAACAAGCCAUAAGAUGAGAGAAUUGGUCCUUUAAAAUUUACUUAACUCCAGAUAUGCCGGCUAAGAAACCCCCAAAAAACAGCAGCCCCAGCCCCAAAACUGCAUUUUAGGGUACGUUCACAGGGGUGGAUUACCAGCGAAAUUUCCGUAGCAUAUAUGCUGCAGAAAAUCCGCAGCAGAUUUUGCUACCAUUGACUUCAAUGGGUCAGCAGAAAAAUCCACACUAGAAGAAGAUUUGACUUCAAUGGGUCCAAAGGAAAUCUGCAAAUCUACUUCUAUUGCAGAUUUUUUGAUGACCCAUUGAAGUCAAUUGUAGCAAAAUCAGCUGUGGAUUUUCUGCAGCAAAUACACUACGGAAAUUCCGCAGGUAAUCCGCCCAUGUGAACGCGCCCUAAGGGUAUGUUCAAAUGAGCAGGCCCACAGCAUAUUUUAUGAUGCGGAUCUGCCACUGAAGGACCCCUGCAUGGUGGCUUUACAUGUGCCUGCUCGGAGCGGCAAUAGCCACUACAAGCAGACACACUGCAAUGUGGAGUCACAGCGCGCAUGCGCAGUAUACUCGCACAUCACAGCUGUGCUUGGCCUAGCUCAGCAGGGGGAGCGGCCGCGAUGUGUGCGGGUACACCACACAUGCACGGCGAUUCGCACAUCGCCAUGUAAAGCCACCAUGCAGCGGUCCUUUAGUGGUGGAUCCGCAGCUUAAAAUACGCUGUGGGUCCGCUCUUGUGAACGUACCCUUAGGCUGUGUUCAAGUUUUUAUUCUACAUUCUUGUCAAAUAUACAAGACACGAUUUCAGCACUAUUUUGCCCAGUAAAAAUAUUGGUGUCCGGCGUGUAACAUAUCCAUUGUUAUGCUCUGCUUCAACGAUGUAGUAGAACAAAAAUCGACAACAAUAGAGUCUAGGCUUACAGGGGUAUAUACAAGAUUAUAGGGGAGGACUAGGGCGUAACAAGUUGAGAUGGGAAUAAUCCUUUAAAGGCUUUUAACCCUAAGCAUUUUUACAAAACAAAUAACCAGUCAGACAGCAGAGGCUUCAUUCAAACAGUCCUGAAGAAUAUCCCAAGAGACGUGAAGAUUACAGUCACUUAUAACCAGACAAUUUCAUGUGACAACACUGAGAAGCCAUUGAAUUAUUGAGGAGUAAAGUGCACUGGACUUUAUAACAGGAUUAGUUCACAGCAAGAGACUUCAGAACAUGCCGGCAAAUAUACCCACGGACCAGUUUAUUAGACGGAACUAUAGAUCACUGGAUAAAAUGAGUUAAAAUGUCACAAAAUCCAUUAGUAGAUGACAAGAGCUGAAAGAAAAGAAAAAAGAUUUGCACUUAGAUUGUCAGUGUGGUUCGGAAGUGGCGGAAAACCCCCACGAUGUGCACAGAAUAGUCAGGGUUCGGUGCGUAUAGUAAUGUGCCACACAAAACACGUCCUCGCUGUGGCCAUUGAUGUAAACCGGUACACUAAAAAAUAGCUGAGAGGUACAGUCCACCAGAUACCCUGGGAGGGGUUCAGAGUGCAGCAAUACACGUACCAGUUCCCAUAACGGACCCAUAACUAGUGCAAAUGAGCAUCCGACUUCCAAGUAUUACAAAGGGAAGGGACCACAGUGACAGCAACUCGAUACCAGCGCUUCGCAACGUAGCAAAAAGGUUAUUUUACGCCAGUCGAAAAAGAAAGUAGUUACAGAUUAGCCCUUUUCUUACUGCAUUAGUUUUUAAUAUACAGUAUAAUUCACAAGAGAUAUUAGCCCUUUGCGACAUGUAAAGUACAAGUGACAAAAGAUCAAGAGAGGAGUUAAAGGUAUAAAAGAAGAAAUGACCUAGGUUUAUAUUAUCUUCAGCAGUAGAUAUCUUGGCAUACACAAUGCAGGUACUGUAAAGGUUGUAACCAGUUAGCUGACUAGGUAUUUGAUUAACAAGGCAUGUCAGGUAGAAGCACAAUGCAUUUAGAAAGCCACCAAACUGAACUGGAGAGGGGUAAUAGAUUAAAAAAUUUUUUUUUAAAUCACACGGCCGUCUAGACCCGUCCCGUUCUUUUCCAGUAAAAAAUAAAAACGGACUUAAAAAAAAAUAAAAAACGACAAUAACGGAUGCAAAAGGAUGUUAUCAGUUUGUAUCUGUUCUUGUUUAGUAAAUAAACCCAAAAAAGUUUUCCAUAGACUUAAAUAUUAAAUUUCCUUUCAUUUUUUUUUGACGGAAGAAAAAAAAAUACUGCAUGUGCCGUUUUUUCUGCCGUCAAAAAAAAACGAAAUGAGUGCAGACGGGUACAAACGGAUGUAAACGGAUUGUAAAAAAAAUCCCAUUGACAUGAAUCAGUUUACAGCCUGCAAGAACCGAGCCGAAACGGGGACAAAAAACAAACAAAAAAAAAACGGGGACAGACAGCCGUGUGAACGCACCCUUAGAGCCAACGCCAUAAUAGUUGAUUGCUUUAGAGUGCUGCAAAAUCAAACCUAAAUAGCCGUGUUUCUCAACCAGGGUGCCUCAAGAUGUUGCAUAACACCUGGUUGGGAAACGGUGCUCUAAAGGGUAGGGUCAGAUGUAGCGCAACCAGAAGGUAUUUUACACAGCAAUGGAUUUACAGAUUUAGACACAGAACCUGCUUGUAGCAGAUGUGCAGUGGGAAAUCUGCCACUACGAGUGGACACAGAGCUACCUGGCCGCAGCAGGGAGCUUGCUUUUGCGACUACAGUCGGCGCAUCCGCAGCGUAAAAUAUGCUGCAGAUGCCCUAAAUGUGUCCCUACCCUAAUAAGGAUAAUUUGUAAUGCCCGAGACAGAGCCCACAAACAAGAGUAGCGCUGUUUCUUUUAGACUACCUUUUCUAAUCUCAUACAGACCGUUAAAGUAGGACAUCUAGGCAGAUGGCCAUAUCCAGAUGGACAAUAAGGGGUUAAAGUCAAUA